ensembl:lncRNA
GAAAAUGUUAUGACAUCACAAAUAUAAAAAGUAGAAUGCAAAAUUUAAUGUGCUAUAUGAUUACAGCUGUGUUUUAAAAAAAAAAAAUCUCUACACGGAAAAAUUUAGAAGAAAACAUCAAAAUAGUAACACCAGUUGUUUAGGGAGGGCGAAAGCUUAGGUGGCUUGGUUUUUUCCAAUUUUUAUUCAUUUUCUGAAUAUUCCUUAACGAGAAAGUAUGUAUUACAUAAUAGAGUAGAGGAAGUUUUAAAUAGAUGUUCAGUGAGAAAAAAGAGGUGCUACCCACUACGUGGGGUUGAGGGGAAAGUCUGAGACCCUCAUGGUGAGGGUGUGGGGGACGAUGGAAAGACCUCCUCGAGUGAGAAUGGGUGGGGAGAAAGGAGGAAGCCCUACACAUGACAGAGGAAAAGAUGACUUUCCUUCAGAGAGGGCUGCUGGAGGCUGAGGAGAGAUUCACAGAGUGUGAAGACAGAGGGGUGGAGAGGGGGAUGCUGGGCCUGAGGAUGCAUCUGUUCUGCCUUCCCCUGUCUCCUCAGAGCCCAUUCAGAUGAUAAAUAAUUAGGGUUAAUCAUACUUUUGGGUUUUUUAAACCAGUGACUGAAACAGGACCUAGGGAGACCAAUAGAUCUGGAGUCUGGACACUCAAUAAAUUCUGCUCCAAAGCUGGCUGCAGAAAGAAGCUUCCCCUCAUGAGCUCAACCAGCAGGCAAAGGAAACCACCAGCUCUUUAUGGUGAGAAGUCACAUCACCUCACAGCCCCAUUACAUGCAGCCUCCAGAACUGUGUGGUUUGCAACUUGUGAGGUGUAAGUAACAAACUCAUAAACAUUGAAACCUUGGUGGAAAGUAAAGAAGGUAUCUGUACCAUUUCAGUAAGGCUUUCACUCAUUCAUUUGAUCAUGAAUGCAUUCAUUCACUUAUUCAUUCAGCAGUACUUAUUGAGCACCACUUAAGUGCUGGGCAUUAUGCUGAACUCAGGGAAUACAGCAGUGGGCCAUGACAGAGGUCUCUGCCCUCAGGGUGCUUACAUUCUAAUGGCAGAGGCCAACACUCAAAUAUCCUUUAAAUAUCAUGGCUGCAAUGAUGACUGCUAUGAAAGAGAGCUGUGUGGAGCCAAGAAUGGCAAAUUUUCCUCUGGUCAGAGACAGUAUCUCCAAAGUGAUGAAGACUGAGCUGAGAUCGGAAGAUGAGUAGGAGCUACUUACAAGAAGUGGAAAGGGAAAAUAAAACCCUUCUAGUCAGAGGUGCAAAGGCCUUGUGGUGAGAGGACCUAAAAGAACAAAAGUCAGUGUGGCCAGCAGAGAGAGUUGCACUUUUAAAAUUUCAUUAGUUGCAGUAUGGUAAACAGAUUGUAGGGGGUCAAGAUUGGAUGUAGGCAAACUGAGUCAGAAGGCUCCUACAGUUAUCCAGGAGAGAGGUGAUGGUAGGUUGGACAAGGAUGGUAGGAUGCAGAGAGAGGGAAGGAUGCUUUCAAGAGAUAUCUAAGGGAUAAGGAGGUUUCUGCUUUCAGUACUGUCUUGGGAAUGUGUGCUGAUCUGGAAAAGGAGGUAGGAAGAUGGGCCUUUGCUUCUGAUAGCCUCUAGGGACUAGACGGACAAAGUUUGGAGUCUGGGGCUGCCAAGAUUAGAGAACUGGUAAAUCACUCAUCUUUUUGACCUGGGACCCGAAAAGACUUACCCUAGGAGACUUAUCCUUCUUGUAAACAAGAAGUACACCAGUUUUAAUUCAUCUAUGGAGCCAAGAAAAUCUCAAAACUGCUAUUAGAUUAAAGAGAUCCAAGCUUACAAGUGCCCACAAGUACCUUACAGAAGCAAACAAAGACCAUCACUAAAAGAAAAUAGCAUUCUUAAACCUCACAUUUUCCUACAAAUAAUUUUUCAUAAGCAACAUUCAUCAUAUGUUCAGAGAUAUCCAGGCCCAUGAGCAAGACCCUCUUGGUGGGGACAGCCUAUCACAGACUGCAGCCCAGGACGCAGCCUGGCCCACUCCCCUCUCAUUUCAUCCCAAGAAGAUGGAAGGAGGAACUUCAAACCUUCUCAGUUCAUGUACUUGUAGACACACUUAAAAGAUGUUUGGGCCGGGCGCGGUGGCUCAAGCCUGUAAUCCCAGCACUUUGGGAGGCCGAGACGAGUGGAUCACGAGGUCAGGAGAUCAAGACCAUCCUGGCUAACACGGUGAAACCCUGUCUCUACUAAAAAAAAAUACAAAAAACUAGCCCAGUGAGGUGGCGGGCGCCUGUAGUCCCAGCUACUCGGGAGGCUGAGGCACGAGAAUGGAGUAAACCCGGGUGGCGGAGCUUGCAGUGAGCUGAGGUCCAGCCACUGCACUCCAGCCUGGGCAACAGAGCGAGACUCCAUCUCCAAAAAAAAAAAAAAGAUGUUUGGAGUUCUAUCUGAGUAUAGUCCUAAGCAUACUCUUUAUUGCAAUCUGUCAAGAAUAUAGCCAACAACAGAGAAGAGUUGAUAAACCAUAAAAUGACCAUUUAUAAUAUUUAAUAUUUAGAGCAGUCACAAUAUGCCAAUCAUUGUUCUAAACAAUAUAUAUGCAUAUGUGUAUAUGUAUAGACAUAUGUACCUUUAUUUAAUCUUCAUAACAAACAUAACCGUUUUAUAGAUGAGAUAGUUGAGACCAAGACUGUCUUUUGUCUAGCUGAGUUUUGUGGCUUGUUUUGUUUUGUUUGGCUAGUAUGUAUUACUGUUCUAGGCAGUAUUAAUUAAUUGAUUAAUUUAUUUAAAAUUUAUCAUUUUAAAAUAAAUACUGGUACUGCUUAUCUUUACUAAUUAUAAAAGUUAUUUUUUCUUUCAAUUAAAACUUAUUAUGUGUCUACAAUGUGCUCCCCAUACUUCUAGGAGCUCACAAUCAAGUGGGAGACAGGGAUAUCAACAGACAUUACUAGUUAAAAUGAGUUCGUAUGUUGCCCAGGCUGGCCUCAAAUUUCUGAUCUCAGGUGAUCCUCCUGCCUCAGCCUCCCAAGUGGCUGGGAGUACAAGUGUGCACCACUGCAUCUGGCCUUCCUCUGCCUUUUGUGUUCUGUUCAGGUCCUCAACUGAUUGGGUGGUGCUCAUCCACAUUGGUAAGGGUGGAUCUUUACUCAGUCUACUGAUUCAAAAAUGAAUCUCUUCUGGAAACAUCAUCACAGACACACCCGGAAAUAACAUUUUACCAAUUAUCUGAGAAUCCCUUAACCCAGUCAAGUUGACACAUGAAAUUCAUCAUCACAAGUCCACCCCUUGUCAAUUUAGCACCCAUAGCAAUCUCCUAAAACUCAUACUUAAUCUCCAAAUAAAGAGAAUAACAAGGCCAUAAUUCAAUCUAGCAUGAUACAACAAUCUUGCAUACAACUGAAAACACACUAGCCUCUUCCCCAGAAGAAGAGAUAAAGUCUUUGAGUAAUAUUUACUCUUCUCCUGAUAGCUGUAACUUAAAUAUUAUGAUGUAAAAUUAACAAUACUUAAAUACUGAUAUAAAUUUAAUACAUCUUGUGUUACAUGAUAAGAAAAUAAGACAGGAAAGAAAGAAAAUAUAUUUGCCUAACAUACAUACACAUAAUUGUAUUCAUAACAAAAUAAGGAGGAAAUAUCCACGACAAUUACAGUCCUUAUUUCUGUAACUGGUCAUAUGGUUGUAGCUGAAAUUUACAAUUAUCUUUUUCUA